UUUAUAUCUUUUCACUAAUUGUUUUGUGCUUGUUUAAUUAUUUCGAUGCUAUUUUCAAGAAUUAGAUUUUGUUGGUUAUUUUUAAAAUGUACUGAAAAUCCUGCCAUUUGAUUAAAUGGUCAUGGGUAUGCAAAUUUGGGGGAUGUUGUUAUCACCAAAGACCCGUUUGAUGAAAUGCUGGAGAAAAAUGCAGUGUCAUGAACAACUAUGAUUGCAGGGUCUGGAAAGUGUGGAAAUGUGAAAAGUGUCUGUUUGGUGUUCGAGGGAGCACCUAUAUGAGAUGAUCUUCCCAAACAGGCAAGGACAUAGAGAAUUCAAAUUGAGAGCUUCUUAAACUUUUCAGGAAGUUAAUCAGGUUGCAUUCUUCAGCAGACAUUCCAGUAGUAUUUCAUUUUGUGGAUGUGGAUGCAUCUCGCUAUGUCGAAUGAACAUCUAGCAUUUAGAUAGUUUGUCAUAUGAUUGUAUCAUACGGUCAACAAAAUAACAACAUUCAAUCCUUUCAUUACAAUAGCAUGGUUAAUGAUCAUUGCAGAUAAUAUUUUAUCGAAGUAAAAAAUCUAGCCCGAGUGCAGAUAAUUAUCCUUGCAGAGAAUUCCCCUUCACCCUGUAGACCAUUUCUCAUAAACUUGAUUCCCUAUUAUGGGAUGAGUCUAUGUUAUAACAGCCCCUACCUAGACUCCAUAUUUCCUUCUAGUUACUUGCUUCUAUAGUCUUCUAUCCUCCACCCUAAUUCUCCAUAGCUACUUCCCUAGUAUUGACAGUGGACUUUAUACUGUGUAAUUUGUAUUCAGACUAUAUUUGGGUAAUUUCUAAUUUUUUUUGUAUCUUCAUUCAUUAGCCAUGUUUCAUUUCCCGCAAGCAUGUGGUUCAUCUCCUUAUCCCUUUUGUCUGGUGAAGUUCUCAUACUUCGAAGUAGGAGAAAACAAAUAGGUUCUCGUGAAACUUGUAGGUUGCAAGAGGUCACUGUACUUGUUGAGAAGCCAUAGUUGGGUGAGCUAUGGUGAGGUAGUCUGCCUGCGAAGAUAUCUAUCUAAACAAAGGAAAAAAAAAGUUGAAGGUGAUUGCAUACUAACACAGGUUUGGUAUAUUCUAGAAGAUUGGACAUUGUGUAGAGAUUCUCUCUCUACUGGAAAAUGUUGUUUCUCUUUCGACUUGCAAAAGUUUUAUGCACAGGGUGCAUGAAAAUUUAGCUUCUCCAAGCUUACAAAUUCAUUUUAGUUUUCUGCGCAGGAUGUAAGAAGGAUUAAAAAAAAAAAAAAAA